UACGUAGGGUGCAAGCGUUGUCCGGAAUUAUUGGGCGUAAAGAGCUCGUAGGCGGUUCGUCGCGUCGGCUGUGAAAACCCGGAGCUCAACUCCGGGCCUGCAGUCGAUACGGGCGGACUCGAGUUCGGCAGGGGAGACUGGAAUUCCUGGUGUAGCGGUGAAAUGCGUAGAUAUCGAGAGGAACACCAGUGGCGAAGGCGAGUCUCUGGACGACACCUGACACUGAGGCACGAAAGCCAGGGGAGCAAACAGG
rnacentral:rRNA from 1 species